rnacentral:sRNA from 1 species
AUUAUAUGAACUGAAGAGAAAAAAAAUGUAUAGCUACCGGUAUAUAAAUCUAAAUGGCCAAUAACUGGUAUUUUACAUUUGGUUUAGAAAACUAAAUUAUUCUUGUGGUUGCCUAUGACAGAAUGUUAAACUGUUGUUCUUGUUUUUAGGGUUGUAUGAACAAUAUCACAUUUGGUGAUGAGAGAAUUGGUUAUUAUGAGACUGUCGCUGGGGGAGCAGGAGCGGGACCAACCUGGCAUGGUCGAAGUGGAGUCCAUACUCACAUGACUAACACCAGAAUCACUGACCCUGAAAUUCUAG